UACGGAGGGUGUAAGCAUUGAUCGGAAUUAUUGGGCGUAAAGCGCGCGCAGGCGGUUUCUUAAGUCUUGUGUUUAAUCCCGGGGCUCAACCUCGGUUCGCAUGGGAAACUGGGAGACUGGAGUGCAGGAGAGGAAAGUGGAAUUCCACGUGUAGCGGUGAAAUGCGUAGAGAUGUGGAGGAACACCAGUGGCGAAGGCGACUUUCUGGCCUGUAACUGACGCUGAGGCGCGAAGGCGUGGGGAGCAAACAGG
rnacentral:misc_RNA from 1 species